UGGGCGUAGGAAGGUGGGUUUAUUUCCGGCCACGCGGCGCCCUGGAGCGGCUGUGGCGGUGCGGGGCCUUCCCCGGGAGCCUGGAAGGCUUUCGGGCCGGGACGUGCGGCGGCGCGCUGGGUUCAUCCGGAACCGUACGCUGACAAGUCAAGGGGAGCUAAACUGGAGGGCGUGGGAAGGCCAGAGAGACUGGAAGCCUCGGCCGUUGUGUGCGGAGAAGCUGUCAGCCUUCUAAGAGAGCGUGUAGCCGGCGAGCGCAUCGUGGUGCUUCGAUACCGAGCUGACAGCACAGGCCUCAAUCUUUUUUUGUGAAAAGGGAUCAGCGGGAAAUGUGUUGAUGUUGAAGGGGGAAAGGUGGCGGGGGAAGAGAUUUGAGCAUCGAUGCCAUGGACGUAGCAGGCGAGCAGCAGCUGGACGUAGAGCACAAGCCGAUUAAACAACGCUUGGAUAAAGCUGCCAAUCGUGUGACUCCAGAAGCAGAGAGACACGGAUUGCAGGAGAGCCCCAGGGGAGCAAUGUGUCAGCACAGAAAACUUCCGCAAGCUCAAGCAAGAAAGGCAAAGGACCAAAUCUUGUUCCUGUUGAAAAAGUUGCUUUUCUACGCAUAGAAAACACAAUGCUAUUUUGCAACCACAAAGAUGAAAACCUUCAGGAACUCUGAAGAUGGAAAUCCAUCUAGCCAUGCAUUGCCAACAAGUGCUUAGUGUUUUCAGUGGAGAGCUAAGAAAUAGCAAAUUCCUGCACAAACUCUGAGUAUCCCACCUCCAGGAAGCAGAAACGGGAAAGACGUGUCCCACAGGUGACUCGACUGGGAGGAAAUUUAAGAGACUGACUACCUGGCUGGCUGGAGGAUUGUGUGACAGUGACAUCCCAGUUAGGCCAAGAGCUGACAGCUGUGUUCCCGGUUCUGUCUCUGAGAAACUACUCCCCUCUCUGCUUGAGGGUCUUCUGUGUGGCUGGUAGAACCCAAGUCAUGGCAAGGAUUGCAGAUCUUCGGAGAGCAGCACCAUAGAAGAGCCAUACCUAGGGGUGUGUGAACAGCAUUGUACUGGGGAAGUGUAUAGUCCAAAAGCAGAGGCACAACUUGGUUGCUGCUCAAACAUUUUACCUGAGGAGUCUGUAAGAUAUUCCAGAGAAGGUACCGAGGUACAGAGGGAGACUGCAUCUCCGUCUCUGCAGCAUUUUCUGGUGUAAAAUACAAUAAGGAUGUAGCAGGUGCUUGAAAGGAAGAAUGCAGAAGAGAACAGAGGAAAAGGAGGGCUGACAGUUGAGAAUCAAGGGGCAAAGUAUCUCAUCAAAGCGGUUUAUGCAGCUGCUUCAAAGCUGAAUCAAUUCUUGAGGACCUGGACUGCAACUGCAAACCAGGGAGUGAAAAACAGCCUAGCAAAUACAGCUCUUUAAGCAGAAACAGAAGAGUUCAGUUCCAGAGGAAGAUUUUUUUUCCCCGGUACCUCAAAACGGUUCUACCCAGCUGCUCUAACAAGUUAUUCUGAAGUCAUCUAACUUUCAGAGCAGUACUUCGUGGAGAUGCCCAUGGUUUUCAGAAUGGGCUCUUAAAUCAUUAGUGGAAACUGCAGCAUGUCCAACAGCUGAAAAACGGCUCUUCUAGAAUGAAGUGUAUACUUUUUAACCUGGUACUCGUGUUCAAUAGAAAUGUUAAAAGAUAUCCAAUGGGAUGGUAAUCGUAAGUGUAUACAAUGGCCUGAAGAUAACUACAUUGUUGUAUUUGCAGCAUCUCAUCAGAGGACAGACCUAUAAGCAACAGUAAUAGGCAGAAGACAGGCAUGCUAUGAAAGUAUGACAGGGUUUGUUAAUGAUGAAUGUUUGUCCCUGCUUUCUGAUGUUACAGUAGAACAAGGUUGACCUUAGAAAAGGUCACAAAGACUUAAAAAUUAAAGUAGUUCAUCCAAGUUUAUUAGCAGUGAAUGAUUCUUUUCUGCCUAAAAUGCUUAACCCAGAGGAAAUGAAAGGAGCUAUGGGUUUCCUUUGCACUGCUGGUUUUACUGUAGGCUUCAUAAAGUGAGCCUUCCAGGAUGCAGCUUCAUCCCUUCCUGAUCCCACAUCCCUGUUCUACUUUGCAAUGGAAUCUCCAGGAGCUGCAAUAAUUUUCUCGCUGUUUUGCAUUGUCUGCCUUGUCUGUUCAGCGCGGAGGAAGAUGUCUGAAACAGGGAAGCUGCCUUCUGGGCCAUUUCCUUUGCCCCUCAUGGGAAACAUGCUGCAGCUGAAGAAUAACUUCCCUGAGGCAAGUGGAUGUAACUUAAAAGCUGUGUUCUUUUUUGUUAAAUUGUUUCAGCUCAGUUUGGUCCCACGUUCACAAUACAUUUGGGCUCAGUAUGUGCAGUGGUGUUGUAUAGACCUUAUGUUGUAAAAUAAGCUCUGAUUGAUUAACAGAGGUGUAGAGUUCAGUGGAAAAGGACUUAUGCCACUCUCCCAAAAGUUCUCCAUAGGAACAGGUACUUUUCUGUGAGGCUUUGCCUAGGCAGAGGUGUUCUUUUGGGAGGAUAAAACUGAGAAGACAGAAGCGGGAAGAGCUGAUGUUUCAUUUAAUAUGAGAGCAAUGCCUGGCAGAAUCUGGAGAGAUCUUUGGCUCGCUGGCAUUAAAUGGUCCUAGUCUCUUUCUGCUGUAGAUGAUAGCUGUUGCACCUUGUAAGGUCUGGAUUAUGACCUGGAGAGCAGAUGGCUGUGGUGGCAUCCUCACACAACUUUCCAUCCUUGUAACUGGGUAUGUCAUCCCAGUGGUACAAGUAGAUCCUAAGGUAGCCAGGGCUACUUUCCACCAGGGGCUAUUGGCCUCCCUCUCUCUCCCCCUCAUUUUCAAAGAGUUGAAUUAGGAACAAAGGAAAUUCAGGGAGGCUGCCAUAAAGAAACUAGGCAUCUUUCUGACAUGAUAGCAAGUUAAAGAAUUUUACUUAAAGGCACUGCAUAAGGAGUAGUUAAAGAAAGCAAUGCAGUACAGACAUGAUAUAGGAAUGCUAUGCAAUAAAAUAGGAUGCACUGUUUGAAAUUUGAAAUAUUAAACGAGAAUCAAUGUGACAAGUGAAUAGCUGUUCAAAUUUAAAGGUAAACGUUACUUUGAAAGAUGCUAAAAAGCAUUUAACCUGGGAAUUAUGACAGGAAAUAUUUUCUACCUCACCUUAGUACAGAGGAAAAAUUUCAUCUGAAAAGGAAAAGCCAAUGGAAAGACCAGUUCAUUUUUACCUUCUGCAGUUUCUUACAGCGAAUGUUCCCCAGACUAUACAAAAACCUAAAGCCUUGCUAAAGCGUAAUUGUCCAUAGUGAUUACUCAUGUUUCUAACCUACAGCAUGUACAAUCAUUUUACUCUCUCUCUUAGUAGAAAGCAUAUGCUGUUUCCUAUAAAGGAGGCCACAUUUUAGCCUAUGAAGAGAGUUCAGGUGAGCCUCAGAGCUUGUUAUUUCUUGCAGUGCAUGAGUACAGCACAGGAACAUCUAAAGGUCAUCAUUUUUGGGGAAUUAAUCCACUUAUGUAGGGUUUUGGGGAUUUUCCUUUACUUUUCAAUAGUAUUUCAGACAGCUGCAAAUGGAACCCAUCAGGAAGCUGGGGCAGGGAGUCAGCUGGAACAGAAAUCAGAUGCCACAAGCUAGGCAGUAAAAUCCAUAAUCUGUCCUUUGACCCCAGUUCUGUGGGCUUCUUGAUUUGAACAAUAGGUAACCAAAGUGUGUUCAUGUGUGUGGGAGGCUAUUAAGAGGGCCACACAUUGCAGAGUGGAAAAGCUAUGCUCCUUGGACUGAGUCUUCAGUGAAAGCAGCCAAGUGGGGCAGGUGAGCUUGAAAAGGCAAAAACACAAGUGUGAAAACUCUCCUUGGUUCCCUCAGCUGCAAGAAAGUUGGAACCUUCGCUCUGUGUGUGCCUCUAUUGAGUGCACGGGGCAUAUACCACAGCACACAAGUAUUGUGAGUUACAGUUGUGAUGCAUGUGAAAAACGUCUCUGUUGUAUUUGUUUGGCAAACAGAUGAUCUGUUUAGAAAGGUGGGUCCCAGAUCCAAAGUUCUUCAGUGUUAAUCAGUAAUCCAGCAGACAGCUUAAUCUGUGAUACAAAGCUGCUUUCAACUCUUGGGUCUCUAGAGAGUCAUAUAUAGCUUAACAUGCUACUGUAUAGAGGUAUCAAGGACAUCUCAAGAGGUCAGAAUUUAUCUUUGUCACAGUUUAAGCGCAGCUGGCAACUAGGUACCACGCAGCUGGUCACGUACUCUCCCCAGCCUGGUGAGAUGGGGAGGACAAUUGGAAAAAGCUAAAACCCAUGGGUUGAGAUAAGAAUAGUUUAAUAACUGAAAUAAAGUAAAAUAUACUAAUAAUAAUAUAAUGAGAAGGGAGAUAACGAGAAGAGAGAGAGGAAUAAAACCCAAGAUGCACAGUACAAUUGCUCACUGUGCGCUGACCAAUGCCCAGCCAGUCCCUGAGCAGCCAUCGGCCCCUCCCAGCCAACUCCCCCCAUUUUAUAUACUGAGCAUGACAUUCUAUGGUAUGGAAUACCCCUUUGGCUAGUGUGGGUCAGUCCUGAUUAUGCUCCCUCACAGCUUCUUGUGCCCCUCUGUGUUGGCAGAGCAUGGGAAAUGGAAAAGUCCUUGACUUAGGGUAAGCACUGCUUAACAACAACUAAAACAUCAAUCUGUUAUCAACAUUAUUCUCCAUACUAAAUCUAAAAAGCAGCACUGUGCCAGCUACUAGGAAGAAAACUAAUUCUGUUUCAGUCAAAACCAGGACAAUCUUUGAAAUUAUAACUGUGAGAAUCACAAAGAACUUUGAGAGCUGUGCAUAAAGCCACUAUUUUCAUAACUUUCCCUUUUAAAUGCUGUGGGAAUUCACAAAUGUCUCAGCAGCCUUCCCUGCAGCCUACAAGGGGUAAGUAACAUACAUGCACACAUGAGGCUCUGGUAUGCACUCUGCCCACUACUUUUUCCUCUUUAACAAAAGAAAUCAAAGAUACCUGAUUUUACACCUGGCUACUCUAAAGUGCUUGUAUUCACCUUUGAUCACUCCAUCUCCCAUCACCCACAUCUAUCCUUAGUGUCCAGACAUACAAUUAAUUAUGCGCGUCAUGUUAAUUUACAAUAGUAGCUCAGGCAAGGGCUAUUGCCCUGUUAUGGGUAAAAUGCUCAAGUACGUUUGUUUGCCUCAUGGGUUGCUUCCCUGAGUUUGUCACUUGGGAACACCUUUGGUGCAUUUGAGAACUUGCCAGUUCUUUUCUUUGCUGGUGCUUGCCCAUCUGACUGUUGCUUCUGUAGCUGCUUCCACCUUAGGAACGUCUUAGAAACUUGAGCUCACAGAGGUGCUUGCGUUCUGUGAGAGGUAUUUGGGAACUAAUAGCAACAGUGCACAGAAUGGAUUAAUUGAGUUUGAAAGCCACUUUUUCACAUGGUCAAGUGACAGGACAUCGUGUCAAGUUUGCCAUAGAAAAUUCAUAUAGCCCUGCCUAGGGCACUGCAAUGCACUGUCUGUAACAGUACCAGCAGAAGAAAAAGUCUAGGCAACACUGAGUGCUAGCAGGCAGGGUGAGAGUGAGCAGUAUGGCUUUGUGGGGGAUGUAGAGCUUGCUAAUGAUGGUUAAUUUUUUAAACUGAUGAUUUUCAGUUUUGUGGUUAACCAAGGUUGAUGAGGUAAAUCCUAUCCAUUAAAUGUUUGAAAUUUUAAAAAUCUGAUCCUUACUGUCCCAGGAGGCGGUAGGUAACAUUACUUGGCACUAAAGCACCUAGUGAGCAUAGUUAUAGGUUAUCAUUGCACUGCUUUUUGUACCACAGGCAACACAAAGUGAGGCUUCAGGACGCAGCUUUAGCCCUCCCCUAAUCUCAAAGCCCGCUGCAUAUCGUGGUGGAGUCUGUGGGAGCUAAAGCUGUCGUCUUGCUGAUUUGUAUUGACUGCCUCCUUGUCUUUUCAGCAUGGAAGAAGACGUCUGGAGCAGAGAAGCUGUCCCCAGGCCUUUUGCUUUGCCUAGCUUAGUCAUGGCACAGCUGAAGAGAAAGUAUGGAGUGCUUUCUUUUUACCUGGUGAGAAGACUUGUAAUAGUUGAUCCUCUUUGGUAUAUGGCAAUAAACUAGAUGAUAUUUUCA